UACGUAGGGUGCGAGCGUUGUCCGGAAUUUAUUGGGCGUAAAGAGCUUGUAGGCGGUUUGUCGCGUCUGCUGUGAAAUCUCAAGGCUCAACCUUGAGCUUGCAGUGGGUACGGGCAGACUAGAGUGUGGUAGGGGGAGACUGGAAUUCCUGGUGUAGCGGUGAAAUGCGCAGAUAUCAGGAGGAACACCGAUGGCGAAGGCAGGUCUCUGGGCCACUACUGACGCUGAGAAGCGAAAGCAUGGGGGAGCGAACAGG
rnacentral:rRNA from 1 species